CUGAAAGCAAUUGGCAAAAUAGUCAGGUGUAAAGAAAUCGCGAUGGUGUUUUGUCAGGUCAUGACUGGCAAGCAAGGGGAAACAGCAAGUUAAGCCCUGCAAGAAGAGAUGGAAGAGUGGAAGCACACUGGCAAAAGCUGUCUAAAGAACACAUUAAGAGAACAGAGACAAAAGGGACUUCUCAAUGGUGGAGAAAAUAUAUCUUGUAAAUGUUAUUUUUGACAGCUUUUUCAUGUUUUCAAGAUCAAGCAAAAUUAUGCCUUCACUUUCUGUCAUCCAACCAAAUUCCAGCACUGCUAAAACCCACUGACAGUUCUGACAAGGCAAGUAAGUGAAGAAGAGGACAUUGAUUGAGGUGUAAAGCAAACCAAGUACAUCUCUUCCUCAUAUUGCCUGUCUGCUAACAUGAAGAUUUGGUACUCCAGAUUGUUGUCUUUCCUAAAAAAAACCAAACCCUUCUUACAGAUUAAGACUUGCUAAGCAAAACAGACAAAUUACCAGAGAAGAAGAAAAAAAAUUAAAAGAAAAAAUAAGAAUUGCAAUGCAUUAUGAUACAGACAGCAAGCAUAACCCUGUCUUCCUGCAGAGGGGAAAUUUUCACCAAAAAAUACUGCAUUUUCUUUAUUCUCUGAGUAGUUGGUUGCAUAGUGACUAAAUACUCCCAUCCAAACAUAUAUAUGCCACAGUGUCUUGUGAAUACUUCAUAAUUUUUACCCUUCUUAUCUCAUACUCCUUGAGUUUUUAAC